UACGGGGGGGGCAAGCGUUGUUCGGAAUUACUGGGCGUAAAGGGCGCGUAGGCGGCCUGCUAAGUCGGACGUGAAAUCCCUCGGCUCAACCGGGGAACUGCGUCCGAUACUGGCGGGCUUGAAUCCGGGAGAGGGAUGCGGAAUUCCAGGUGUAGCGGUGAAAUGCGUAGAUAUCUGGAGGAACACCGGUGGCGAAGGCGGCAUCCUGGACCAACACUGACGCUGAGGAGCGAAAGCCAGGGGAGCAAACGGG
rnacentral:rRNA from 1 species